rnacentral:rRNA from 1 species
CUGGCGGCGUGCCUAAUACAUGCAAGUCGAACGAACUGUGGAAAGCUUGCUUUCAGAGUUAGUGGCGAACGGGUGAGUAACACGUAAGUAACCUAGCUAUUAGACGAGGAUAACUACUGGAAACGGUAGCUAAGACUGGAUAUGAUAGAAAUAUUUAAAGGAUGCUAAGGCAUCGCUAAUAGAGGGGCUUGCGGCGCAUUAGCUAGUUGGUAGGGUAAAAGCCAACCAAGGCGAUGAUGCGUAGCCGACCUGAGAGGGUGACCGGCCACACUGGGACUGAGACACGGCCCAGACUCCUGCGGGAGGCAGCAGUAGGGAAUCUUCGGCAAUGGACGGAAGUCUGACCGAGCAACGCCGCCGUGAGUGAAGAAAGUUUUCGGAUUGUAAAGCUCUGUUAUUAGGGAAGAAAGGCUCUAGGAGGAAAUGCUUAGGGAUUGACGGUACCUAAUAAGGAAGCCACGGCUAACUACGUGCCAGCCGCAGC